AUGGAGGCCGCUGCUGGGGCGUUGAGCCCUGUCCUCCGUAAGCUCGGUGAGCUGCUCGCCGGAGAAUACAACCUGGAGAAGCGAGUGAAGAAAGGUGUACAAUCACUUCGUACAGAACUGGAGAUGAUGCACGCCGUACUUCGUGAGGUUGGCAAGGUGCCGCCGGAUCAGCUCCAGGAGCCGGUCCGGAUUUGGGCUGGCAAGGUGAGAGACCUGUCUUGCGACAUGGAAGACGCUGUUGACGACUUCCUGACGCGUGUGGGUGAGGGUUCAGGCAGCAAGCCAACGGACAUGAGGAGUCGAGUCAAUAAGUUCCUCAAGAAGACCACCACAUUAUUUGGUAAGGGCAAAGCACUUCAUCAAAUCUGUGAUGCCAUCAAAGAAGCUCAGGAUCUUGCCAAGGAGUUGGCUGAGCUGCGUAAAAAGUAUGAGCUUGACAUGUUUAGCUCUACCAACGGUGCUACCAUUGACCCUCGCGUGUUAGCUCUACAAAAAGAUGUAGGGGAGCUUGUUGGACUUGACCGCACAACGGAUGAACUUAUUAAAACACUGAUUUGUGAGGACGGGAGUUCCAAGGAGCACUUGAAGACAAUCUCUAUUGUUGGUGUUGGUGGCCUAGGCAAGACAACCCUCACCAAAGCAGUUUUCGAGAAGAUCAAAGCCCAAUUUGAUUGUGCAGCUUUUGUCCCGGUGGGUCAGAACCCAGAUAUCAGGAAAUUUUUCAAAGACCUACUCUAUGGCCUCGACAAAGAGAAGUUCAAAGACAUUCAUAAUACAACAAGAGAUGAGAAACUACUCAUGGAGGAAAUCAGUGAAUUCCUUCUGGAUUGGAUAAGAGGUACCUCGUCGUAA
rnacentral:rRNA from 1 species